AUUGAACGCUGGCGGCAGGCCUAACACAUGCAAGUCGAACGAGUGGCGGACGGGUGAGUAAUGUCUGGGAAACUGCCUGAUGGAGGGGGAUAACUACUGGAAACGGUAGCUAAUACCGCAUACCAUCGGAUGUGCACAGAUGGGAUAAGCUUGUAGGUGAGGUAACGGCUCACCUAGGCGACGAUCCGUAGCUGGUCUGAGAGGAUGGCCAGCCACACUGGAACUGUGUCACGGUCCAUACUCCGACGGGGGGCAGAAGUGGGGAAUAUUGCACAAUGGGCGAAAGCCUGAUGCAGCCAUGCCGCGUGUAUGAAGAAGGCCUUCGGUUUUUAAAGUACUUUCAGCGGGGAGGCGUUACCCGCAGAAGAAGCACCGGCUAACUCCGUGCCAGCAGCCGCGGUAAUUC
rnacentral:rRNA from 1 species